GGUGAGUAACACGUGGAUAACCUACCUAUAAGACUGGGAUAACUUCGGGAAACCGGAGCUAAUACUGGAUAAUAUUUUGAACCGCAUGGUUCAAAAGUGAAAGACGGUCUUGCUGUCACUUAUAGAUGGAUCCGCGCUGCAUUAGCUAGUUGGUAAGGUAACGGCUUACCAAGGCAACGAUGCAUAGCCGACCUGAGAGGGUGAUCGGCCACACUGGAACUGAGACACGGUCCAG
rnacentral:rRNA from 1 species